rfam:Pteropus alecto contig91824, whole genome shotgun sequence.
AACUACAGCCACGCCACCCUGAAAAUGCCAGAUCUCGUCUGAUCUCGGAAGCUAAGCAGGGUUGGGCCUGGUUAGUACUUGGAUGGGAGACCACCUAGGAAGACCAGGUGCUGUAGGCA